AAGCGACUCCCCUGCAGAUGGGGAGCUGGGGUUCAAACCGGGAUCCUUAUGCCGGUCCUUGUGCUUUGCACCACCUGCGCUUAACCCGCUGCGCUACAGCCCGACUCCCUUAAAUUCUUUUAUCCCAUGCUGAGGACCUGCUGCUGGAAGGCUGUAUGUUAUGGCGUCACCUGCGUUUUAUUCCUUCUGUGUGAUUUCUUUGCUUCACUACCGUAGAUGCUUUUAUACUGGUUGUGGAUUGUUUUCCUUGCAGAUUUGUCUUGAGAUUAUGGUGUAAAUCCAUCCUGGUCUCUUGAGCAGGCAAAUAGUAACAUUUCCUUCAUCCACUUAUCACGAGUCCUUCCCUUGUGAGGAUUUUCAAUAGCAGGCGUGUAAAUCUACUUUGAAAUCACUUUAUAUGAUUUCUUAUUUUCUGUUGUGCAUGAUUUUUAGCAUAUUAGCAUAGAUGUGUAGUAAAUAAAGUGUUAACCUACCAGAAAUAUUAAAUCUAUUGACUUUAUACAAGGUUAACAGUGAACAAUUUGAUAAAGACAUCCCUAGUUCCCUUAAACCUCAAAUUUAUUAUCUUCUUCAUAUCUUUUUUUUUUUUAUUAUAAGUUUUUUUUUUUUUUAAUUUUUUAACCAGAGCACUGUUCAGCUCUGGCUUAUGGUGGUGUGGGGGAUUGAAUCUAGGACUUUGGGGCCUCGGGCAUGAGAGUCUGUUUUCAUAACCAUUAUGCUAUCUACCCUCCGCCCAUCUUCCUCAUCUUUUUUUAAAAAUUUUAUUUAUUUAUUUUCCCUUUCGUUGCCCUUGUUUUUAUGGUUGUUGUAGUUAUUAUUGUUGUCGUUGUUGUUAGAUAGGACAGAGAGAAAUGGAGAGGAAGGGAAGACAGGGGGAGAGAAAGAUAGACACCCGAAGAUUUGCUUCACCGCCUGUGAAGCGACUCCCCUGCAGGUGGGGAGCCGGUGGCUGGAACCCGGAUCCUUAGCCCGUCCUUGCGCUUCACACCAUGUGCGCUUAACCCGCUGCGCUACCGCCCAACUCCCUCAUCUUCCUCCUAUCUUAAAUGUGGUACCUUUAUUGUCCUCAUUGUAAUUCGUUGAACAGCAUGAUUAAAAUAGGCUUUGGGAUGGUGGCUAGGUAAAUGGAAUGCAAGGCUUCCAUGUACCUAGUAGUGACCAUGUCUCCGAUUAAAAAAAAAAAAAAAAAGAAAAAAAUUUUUUUAUAUAUAUAUAAUAUCGUUGAGAGAUUUGGUAAAGUAUUCUAUAACACUGUUACCUGAACUGCAUUGUAUUUGGAGGGACAUUAAGUUGACAGCACUUCUUUUUGCUACCCUUAAGUGAUGACUUGUAACAGGCCUUUCACAUGGUUUUUUUUCUUUACGCUUUUAGUCAUGACCUCCACACCAAUCACCAUUCUUACUUUGAUUGGACCAAUGUACAUUAAACACUAUUGUGUACGUAGAACAGAUCGUCUGUAAGCUUAAGGAAAAAAGGUUCUAGCUGUAUUCCCAGGAACAAGCUCUCAAGACAAGUCAUUGACUCCUGGCCUGUGUGAAGAGUUCUGGAUGAAGCACUGAGUACUGGAGAAUGGAAGAAAGUCAAGAGUAGGUAUUUUGGAGAAGCCUUUGACCAGAGUUUCUCUUGUAGCUAUAAUACACACACACACACACACACACACACAUAUCAAACCCUAACAUUCCCAUUAUUUAGAUAUGACCCCAAACGUUCUCAAAUUCAUAAUUCUCAAAAUUAUUCACCUUUGUCAGUUAAAAAAAGGGCGGGGGGGAGUCAGACUGUAGUGCAGCGGGUUAAGCGCUGGAAGCGCAAAGCACAAGGACCGGUGUAAGAAUCCCGGUUCGAGCCCCUGGCUCCCCACCUGCAGGGGAGCCACUUCACAGGCGGUGAAGCAGGUCUAUCUUUUUCUCCCCCUCUGUCUUCCCCUCCUCUCUCCAUUUCUCUCCUAACAAUCUCUGUCAUUCUCUCUGUCAUCUUAACAAUGACAACAUCAAUAACAACAACAAUAAUAACUACAACAAUAAAACAACAAGGGCAACAAAUGGGAAUAAAUAUUUUUUUAAAAAAAGGAUUUGUUCUAAUGUGAAACAAAUCAAUGAGAAUGAAACAUUAACAAAAGUGAGUCAUACACCAUGAGCACUAGACAAUAAAAUCAAUUGUUUCUCUGCUA